AAAGCGUGCGCAGGCGGUUUUGUAAGUCUGAUGUGAAAUCCCCGGGCUCAACCUGGGAAUUGCAUUGGAGACUGCAAGGCUAGAAUCUGGCAGAGGGGGGUAGAAUUCCAAGUGUAGCAGUGAAAUGCGUAGAUAUGUGGAGGAACACCGAUGGCGAAGGCAGCCCCCUGGGUCAAGAUUGACGCUCAUGCACGAAAGCGUGGGGAGCAAACAGGAUUAGAUACCCGUGU
rnacentral:rRNA from 1 species